AGGGGCUGCUGAUGAGACUGGAGAGGUGGCAGAGCCCAGACCCCACAGAGCCUUGAACACCCGGACUAGGGCCUGGAUUUCCUUCGGAGGACAACAUGAGAGCCAAGCAGUUCUGUUUUGAUUGUUAAAAGCAACUGAACAGAGGCAGCAGAUGAUGCAUUUGGGAUAAAGAAAACAAAUGCUAUAAAUACGGAAGCAGAAAAAAUAAACAGCAAAAAAAG